GGCUCAGGAUGAACGCUAGCUACAGGCUUAACACAUGCAAGUCGAGGGGCAGCAUGACGAUAGCUUGCUAUUGUUGAUGGCGACCGGCGCACGGGUGAGUAACGCGUAUCCAACCUUCCCGUUGCUAGGGGAUAACCUUGCGAAAGUAAGACUAAUACCCUAUGAAGUUCUUCGCAGGCAUCUCCGAAAUACCAAAGGAGCAAUCCGCUGAAAGAUGGGCUCGCGUCUGAUUAGAUAGUUGGUGAGGUAACGGCCCACCAAGUCGACGAUCAGUAGCCGGACUGAGAGGUUGAACGGCCACAUUGGGACUGAGACACGGCCCAGACUCCUACGGGAGGCAGCAGUAGGGAAUAUUGCACAAUGGAGGAAACUCUGAUGCAGCCAUGCCGCGUGUGUGAAGAAGGCCUUCGGGUUGUAAAGCACUUUCGGAGGGGAGGAAGAAAAUGACGUUACCCUCAGAAGAAGCACCGGCUAACUCCGUG
rnacentral:rRNA from 1 species